UACGUAGGUGGCAAGCGUUGUCCGGAUUUAUUGGGUUUAAAGGGUGCGUAGGUGGGCAGGUAAGUCAGUGGUGAAAUCUCCGGGCUUAACCCGGAAACUGCCGUUGAUACUAUCUGUCUUGAAUAUAGAGGAGGUGAGCGGAAUAUGUCAUGUAGCGGUGAAAUGCUUAGAUAUGACAUAGAACACCAAUUGCGAAGGCAGCUCGCUACACGAAUAUUGACUCUGAGGCACGAAAGCGUGGGGAUCAAACAGG
rnacentral:rRNA from 1 species